rnacentral:rRNA from 1 species
GACGAACGCUGGCGGCGUGCCUAAUACAUGCAAGUUGAGCGAUGAAGAUUGGUGCUUGCACCAAUUUGAAGAGCAGCGAACGGGUGAGUAACGCGUGGGGAAUCUGCCUUUGAGCGGGGGACAACAUUUGGAAACGAAUGCUAAUACCGCAUAACAACUUUAAACAUAAGUUUUAAGUUUGAAAGAUGCAAUUGCAUCACUCAAAGAUGAUCCCGCGUUGUAUUAGCUAGUUGGUGAGGUAAAGGCUCACCAAGGCGAUGAUACAUAGCCGACCUGAGAGGGUGAUCGGCCACCUUGGGACUGGGACACGGCCCAAACUCCUACGGGGGGCAGCAGUAGGGAAUCUUCGGCAAUGGACGAAAGUCUGACCGAGCAACGCCGCGUGAGUGAAGAAGGUUUUCGGAUCGGAAAACUCUGUUGGUAGAGAAGAACGUUGGUGAGAGUGGAAAGCUCAUCAAGUGACGGUAACUACCCAGAAAGGGACGGCUAACUACGUG